UACGGGGGGAGCAAGCGUUGUUCGGAAUUACUGGGCGUAAAGGGCGUGUAGGCGGCCGACUAAGUCGGGGGUGAAAUCCACUGGCUCAACCAGUGAAGUGCCUUCGGGACUGGACGGCUUGAGUAUGGCAGAGGGAAGCGGAAUUCCAGGUGUAGCGGUGUAAAGUGACGGUAGAUAUCUGGAGGAACACCGGUGGCGAAGGCGGCAUCCUGGACCGAGUACUGACGCUGAGGAGCGAAAGCUAGGGGAGCGAACGGG
rnacentral:rRNA from 1 species